AUUGAACGCUGGCGGCAUGCCUUACACAUGCAAGUCGAACGGUAACAGGUCUUCGGAUGCUGACGAGUGGCGAACGGGUGAGUAAUACAUCGGAACGUGCCUAGUAGUGGGGGAUAACUACUCGAAAGAGUGGCUAAUACCGCAUGAGAUCUACGGAUGAAAGCAGGGGAUCGCAAGACCUUGUGCUACUAGAGCGGCCGAUGGCAGAUUAGGUAGUUGGUGGGAUAAAAGCUUACCAAGCCGACGAUCUGUAGCUGGUCUGAUAGGACGAUCAGCCACACUGGGACUGCGACGCGGCCCAGACUCCUACGGGAGGCAGCAGUGGGGAAUUUUGGACAAUGGGCGCAAGCCUGAUCCAGCAAUGCCGCGUGCAGGAUGAAGGCCUUCGGGUUGUAAACUGCUUUUGUACGGAACGAAAAGCCCUGGGUUAAUACCCUGGGGUCAUGACGGUACCGUAAGAAUAAGCACCGGCUAACUACGUGCCAGCCGCCGCCGUAACAC
rnacentral:rRNA from 1 species